rnacentral:lncRNA from 10 species
CCAGCCAGCCUUGCCUCUCUCGCCGUAGGCUUCCAAGGACAGCUCUGUCCUACAGUCACAGAGGGGCCAGGCCCCAGCCCUAGGCAAAUGCUAUGGCUUCUGUGGUUGUUUCAACAACUCUACCAUUGCAGACGGGACCUAGACUGGCAUUCUCUUGUAAAUAUUGAUGAAGGCCCCAGAUAGGGAGGAAUAAGAAAACAAAGGACGUUUUAUUUGUGAUAGAAAGAGAACCCAACAGAAAACAAAAAUCUACAGGCAGGCCCAACAGGAGGGGAGAUGUUUAAAUAAACCUUGAUACAUUCACUCCAUGGAAUAUUGUGCAACUAUUGAAAUGAUGUUUACCUAGGAUUUGUAAUAACACGGGAAAAUGCUUAUUAUAAAAUGCUAAGUGAAAAAAGGAAGAAACGGAAUUGUAUAUUUAGCAUAAUCGUACCUAAGCAAACAUCAAGCCAAACAAAAACUUUGCACAGAAGAAAAAGACCAGAGGGACACACACCACAGUAGGGGGUGUCGUUGAGUGGCAAAAUUGGGGAGAUUUUUAAUACCUUUCUCUAUUUUUUUUCUAUAAUGGGCAUGGUUGGUUUAAAGUGGAAAGCGACCCAAAUUUAAUUUUUUUUUGUUUUUCUGAAGAAGAAAGAAUUCCUAUUGGAAAAGCAAGAAGCCAAGUGACACAGAUGUCACUCUGAGGCUAAGGGCAGGAGGCCAACAGACCCCAGGCUAUUAAGUAAAGUCAAGUAGAAAUCUGAGACUCUGGCCCCAUGAAGUCGUCUCAGCUGCACACCUGAGUAUAGGGUCUGCAACAUUCUGGUAACGACACUGGCUCUCACUCCUAUAUGUUGUAAAUGUAGGUGUAAUUGAGUUUUUUUCCCUUACAACAAAGGCUAAACAGAAUAGCUGGGCCCCUGUCCUUCUUCCUACCCCAAGAUGGCGCUCCUCGGAAGCAGCCCGGCUCUCCCUGGUGGGCACAGGGAGCAAAGUCCUUCUGGCUGCAAGGCCACCCUUCCGGUUCCCUGGACCAGUCCUGGUCUGUGCAUCUCCCAGAUUUCCAUUCAGGUCCCUGUUCAAAUGUCAUCCUAUCAGGGAGGCCUGAUCACAUGAUUUAAAAGAGCAACCCCUUUCCUCCGGCACUCAGGAUCCCAUGUCCCUGCCUCAGCUUUCUCCUUAGUGUAUAUGCAGCCUAGUCCAAAUAUUCUGUAAAUGUUUAUUUCAGGAGUGAAUGAAUGCAUCCUGAUCAUUUU